CCCUUAGAUGUUCUGGGCCGCACGCGCGCUACACUGAUGCAUUCAACAAGCCUAGCCUUGACCGAGGGGUCCGGGUAAUCUUUGAAACUGCAUCGUGAUGGGGCUAGAUUAUUGCAAUUAUUAAUCUUCAACGAGGAAUGCCUAGUAAGCGUGAUUCAUCAAAUCGCGUUGAUUACGUCCCUGCCCUUUGUACACACCGCCCGUCGCUCCUACCGAUUGAAUGUGUUGGUGAGGAGCUCGGAUUGGCAGCAGUUGGUGGUUCGCCACCGGCUAUUGCUGAGAAGUCCUCCAAACCGCCCCAUUUAGAGGAAGGAGAAGUCGUANCA
rnacentral:rRNA from 1 species